rnacentral:lncRNA from 10 species
AAAACAUUUAACCUAGCCUUUCACUAGGUUUCGAGUAAUACAAAAUAGAGUAGUAUAAUAUGAUCUAUGCUAAAUUCAUCAUUUUUAAAGUAGCCUAAGACUAUUAGCUGUUUUGUUGGCAGCCUAUACACUGUUAAGUUAUGAAGUGCACUGUUAAGUACUUAGUAUGAACGUUGAUGUCAAGGUCUUGGGCUACUUUUAAUUCAUGCCUUGCCCUCGCUCUACUUUUACAGUAACUAGCUCCAAGUAUAGGACAAGUCCAAGUCCGUCUGUGCUUGCUCCAGUCCAGCUACUUUUUCUACCCUACCAGUGUCUUUGUGGACUUGAGUUGAUUCAUUCACUAUUCAUAUGCAACUCUGAUAAACUAACCGUGUAAAAAUAAAACAUUGGCCUGGAAUCUCAACACUUUGGGAGGCCAAGGCGGGAGGAUUGUUGAACCUGGGAGGCAGAGGUUGCAGUG